rnacentral:rRNA from 1 species
UACGUAGGGUGCGAGCGUUGUCCGGAAUUAUUGGGCGUAAAGAGCUCGUAGGCGGCUUGUCGCGUCGGAUGUGAAAGCCCGGGGCUUAACUCCGGGUCUGCAUUCGAUACGGGCAGGCUAGAGUGUGGUAGGGGAGAUCGGAAUUCCUGGUGUAGCGGUGAAAUGCGUAGAUAUCAGGAGGAACACCGGUGGCGAAGGCGGAUCUCUGGGCCAUUACUGACGCUGAGGAGCGAAAGCGUGGGGAGCGAACAGG